CAGCAGCCACGGUAAUACGAAGGGGGCUAGCGUUGCUCGGAAUGACUGGGCGUAAAGGGCGCGUAGGCGGAUUGUUUAGUUAGGCGUGAAAUUCCUGGGCUCAACCUGGGUGCUGCGUUUGAUACUUGGUUGCUUGAGUGGGGAAGAGGGUCGUGGAAUUCCCAGUGUAGAGGUGAAAUUCGUAGAUAUUGGGAAGAACACCGGUGGCGAAGGCGGCGACCUGGUCCUCUACUGACGCUGAGGCGCGAAAGCGUGGGGAGCAAACAGGAUUAGAUACCCCCGUAGUCCCUGUCUCUUAUAC
rnacentral:rRNA from 1 species